CGGGACGUGGCGCAGUUUGGUAGCGCACUUGACUGGGGGUCAAGGGGUCGUGGGUUCAAAUCCCGCCGUCCCGAC
rnacentral:tRNA from 11 species